GAACACGUGGAGAGAGCGGAGCAGAGCAGCUCAAGGCGAGAGAGAUUAAAGGCUAAUAUUAGCUUUUAAAAGAAAAACUGCGUCUUACAGCAUGUUUAUGGUUGAAAGUACGCGUCCCGUUGUCUCGCUCAGCUGUGUAACUGUGGGUAUUUGUCGGUUUUAUGACUAUAACCCUCCUUAAUGGAGUCCUUCAGGUUAUAAAUAUGUAAUAAACCUUAUACCAUUCCUGAAUGUUCUGCCUGAAGUGUUUGGGUUCAGGACCUGCCUGGUGGGCAAGGAGCUUCAGAUUGGGUCCAGAUCCUCAUGUGGUGAAGUUACUGCAGAUCUCCAAACUCUGCAUGGGUUUUGACUGAGACUGGUCCCGUCGCUGCCGUUGUGUCUCCUGUCAGGUGGGCCGUAACUGAAGAUGCCUUGAGGUCUUAAGACUGAUCCUGUUACUGCCGUUGUGUCUCCUGUCAGAUGGGCCGUAACUGAAGAUGCCUUGAGGUCUUAAGAUUCUGGCCACUUGGGGAUCAUCAGUCCUUGGUUAUUUAAGAUUGUAAGUGAAUGCUGACAGACUUUUUGUAGAUAUGUGUGCCACAUGUAUAUGCAUUAAAGGGGAAGUUCACCCAUUUUUCAAAGUAUCUGCAUGAUUGAGAUGUAAACAAUUUGGGUUUGGUGUGAAAUGCUUCGUUCUAUGGAAAACUUGGUCAGAUGUGUUUAUAGUAGUGGUGAUGGGAACCAUAUGUCCACCUCUAAAAGCUCCCUCCCAGAAAGUUAUUACAUGAAAUGGCUAUGGAAACGUUGGCUAAUGUCUGACACAUUGAUUUAGAUAGAUAAAGAUAGGUAAGACAGAUACAUAUACUAGGCAGAAAUGAAAAUAGGAAUAAAAAUAGACAUAAAUUGGGCAGAAAUAAAAAAAAAGACAAGUUAAAGUAUGGUAGAGAAAUAGAAGUUAUAGUAUGAGAGAGUAUUAAGAAGACAGACUUACAUAGAUUUGAGUGUUUUGGGCCAAAAUCUUUAGUAAAACCCACUCCUGCUGGAGAGGUGAAUGCAGUUGUGAUGCAAAAUAGACCCCAA